GCGCCUUGCCAGCCCGCUCAGAAACUACAAAGGAAUUGACGGGGACCCGCACAAGCGGUGGAUGAUGUGGUUUAAUUCGAUGCAACGCGAAAAACCUUACCCACCUUUGACAUGUACGGAAGAUCGCAGAGACGCGAUUGUGCUCGAAAGAGAACCGUAACACAGGUGCUGCAUGGCUGUCGUCAGCUCGUGUCGUGAGAUGUUGGGUUAAGUCCCGCAACGAGCGCAACCCUUGCCAUUAGUUGCUACAUUCAGUUGGGCGCUCUAAUGGGACUGCCGGUGACAAACCGGAGGAAGGUGGGGAUGACGUCAAGUCCUCAUGGCCCUUAUAGGUGGGGCUACACACGUCAUACAAUGGCUGGUACAAAGGGUUGCCAACCCGCGAGGGGGAGCUAAUCCCAUAAAGCCAGUCGUAGUCCGGAUCGUAGUCUGCAACUCGACUACGUGAAGUCGGAAUCGCUAGUAAUCGUGGAUCAGAAUGUCACGGUGAAUACGUUCCCGGGUCUU
rnacentral:rRNA from 1 species